rnacentral:misc_RNA from 1 species
GUAUCCUCACCAUGACUUGCAACUUCUACCAGUAAAUCGGUUGCUUUCUUCCAGGAGGACUCAUCAGAGCUGUCAUGCACGAAUAGUGCAAUGUCACAAGCAGCUAAAGACUCUUUGCCAGAUAACAGUUUUUUCACUCCAUCUUCAGGUAUCUCCCUCAAAAUAAGGGUCUUUUUUGUUCCUCCAGGUUGGUCGACAACAUUUACG